CUGUGCAAAGGUAGCAUAAUCAUUAGUUUUUUAAUUGAAGACUUGUAUGAAUGAUUGAACGAGAUAUAAGCUGUCUCAUAAAAAUUUUUAUUGAAUUUAAUUUUUUAGUUAAAAAGCUAAAAUAAAUUUAAAAGACGAGAAGACCCUAUAGAUCUUUAUAAAAUUAUUUAUUGAUUUUUUUAUUAGAUAAAUUUUAUUUUAAUAAAUUAUUUUAUUUUGUUGGGGUGACAUUGAAAUUUAUUUAACUUUCAAAAAUUUUUACCAUUAAUUUAUGAAUAAUUGAUCCUUUAUUAAGGAUUAAAAAUUUAAGUUACCUUAGGGAUAACAGCGUAAUUAUUUUGGAGAGUUCAUAUCGAUAAAAUAGGUUGCGACCUCGAUGUUGGAUUAAGAUUAAUAUUGGGUGCAGUAGUUCAAUAUAUUAAGUC
rnacentral:rRNA from 1 species